GAUGAACGCUGGCGGCGUGCCUAAUACAUGCAAGUCGAGCGAACGGACGAGAAGCUUGCUUCUCUGAUGUUAGCGGCGGACGGGUGAGUAACACGUGGAUAACCUACCUAUAAGACUGGGAUAACUCCGGGAAACCGGAGCUAAUACCGGAUAAUAUUUUGAACCGCAUGGUUCAAAAGUGAAAGACGGUCUUGCUGUCACUUAUAGAUGGAUCCGCGCUGCAUUAGCUAGUUGGUAAGGUAACGGCUUACCAAGGCAACGAUGCAUAGCCGACCUGAGAGGGUGAUCGGCCACACUGGAACUGAGACACGGUCCAGACUCCUACGGGAGGCAGCAGUAGGGAAUCUUCCGCAAUGGGCGAAAGCCUGACGGAGCAACGCCGCGUGAGUGAUGAAGGUCUUCGGAUCGUAAAACUCUGUUAUUAGGGAAGAACAUAUGUGUAAGUAACUGUGCACAUCUUGACGGUACCUAAUCAGAAAGCCACGGCUAACUACGUGCCAGCAGCCGCGGUAAUACGUAGGUGGCAAGCGUUAUCCGGAAUUAUUGGGCGUAAAGCGCGCGUAGGCGGUUUUUUAAGUCUGAUGUGAAAGCCCACGGCUCAACCGUGGAGGGUCAUUGGAAACUGGAAAACUUGAGUGCAGAAGAGGAAAGUGGAAUUCCAUGUGUAGCGGUGAAAUGCGCAGAGAUAUGGAGGAGCACCAGUGGCGAAGGCGACUUUCUGGUCUGUAACUGACGCUGAUGUGCGAAAGCGUGGGGAUCAAACAGGAUUAGAUACCCUGGUAGUCCACGCCGUAAACGAUGAGUGCUAAGUGUUAGGGGGUUUCCGCCCCUUAGUGCUGCAGCUAACGCAUUAAGCACUCCGCCUGGGGAGUACGACCGCAAGGUUGAAACUCAAAGGUAUUGACGGGGACCCGCACAAGCGGUGGAGCAUGUGGUUUAAUUCGAAGCAACGCGAAGAACCUUACCAAAUCUUGACAUCCUUUGACAACUCUAGAGAUAGAGCCUUCCCCUUCGGGGGGCAAAGUGACAGGUGGUGCAUGGUUGUCGUCAGCUCGUGUCGUGAGAUGUUGGGUUAAGUCCCGCAACGAGCGCAGCCCUUAAGCUUAGUUGCCAUCAUUAAGUUGGGCACUCUAAGUUGACUGCCGGUGACAAACCGGAGGAAGGUGGGGAUGACGUCAAAUCAUCAUGCCCCUUAUGAUUUGGGCUACACACGUGCUACAAUGGACAAUACAAAGGGCAGCGAAACCGCGAGGUCAAGCAAAUCCCAUAAAGUUGUUCUCAGUUCGGAUUGUAGUCUGCAACUCGACUACAUGAAGCUGGAAUCGCUAGUAAUCGUAGAUCAGCAUGCUACGGUGAAUACGUUCCCGGGUCU
rnacentral:rRNA from 1 species